UCCCCCUUAGCUCAGUGGUAGAGCGCGUCACUAGUAUUCCUGAUUAAUGCGAAAUGACGAGGUCAGUCGUUCAAGUCGGCUAGGGGGAA